AUUGAACGCUAGCGGGAUGCUUUACACAUGCAAGUCGAACAAGUGGCGGACGGGUGAGUAAUAUAUCGGAACGUGCCCCGUAGCGGGGGGUAACUACUCGAAAGAGUGGCUAAUACCGCAUACGAUUGGAGCAGCCGCUAUCGGAUUAGCUAGUUGGUGGGGUAAAGGCUCACAAAGGCAACGAUCCGUAGCUGGUUUGAGAGGACGACCAGCCACACUGGGACUGAGACACGGCCCAGACUCCUACGGGAGGCAGCAGUGGGGAAUUUUGGACAAUGGGGGAAACCCUGAUCCAGCCAUCCCGCGUGUAUGAGAAGGCCUUCGGGUUGUAAAGUACUUUUGGCAGAGAAGCGGUAUCUGCAGAAUAAGCACCGGCUAACUACGUGCCAGCCGCCGCGGUAAGAC
rnacentral:rRNA from 1 species